GGUGCAUGCCCAAGGAUUCCGGCGCACCUCGAAGGAAGGACCAAGGCCUGGGACGACUUGUCCUCUUCUUCCUCUAACAUCUCUCUGCCGGCUGCUGCUUAUUAGUAGGGAGGGAGGGAGGGAGGGAGCGGAAAAGAUAGAGCGACGGCGAGCGCAUCCGACACCGAUACACCGAGAGUCCUCAUCUCGCUAUCUAUGUCCCUCAGUUUUCUAUUGGCCAAAACAAAAGAUGCAAUCUAUUGUUGAAAGACCAACUUGUCCGCAAAAUACCUUGCAAACUGCGGCACGUUGAGCUAGGAGGUCUGUGCGAGUUAGAGGUUAUAUGAGACAAGGGCUUGGUCCUAUUGAAGUUACAUUUGAGAAUUUUCCCUACUACCUUAGG